rnacentral:rRNA from 1 species
GCGGCGGCCUAACACAUGGCCAGUUCGUAACAGGGUAACGCCGUACUUGUACCUGGUGGCGAGCGGCGGACGGGUGAGUAAUGCCUAGGAAUCUGCCUGGUAGUGGGGGAUAACGCUCGGAAACGGACGCUAAUACCGCAUACGUCCUACGGGAGAAAGCAGGGGACCUUCGGGCCUUGCGCUAUCAGAUGAGCCUAGGUCGGAUUAGCUAGUUGGUGAGGUAACGGCUCACCAAGGCGACGAUCCGUAACUGGUCUGAGAGGAUGAUCAGUCACACUGGAACUGAGACACGGUCCAGACUCCUACGGGAGGCAGCAGUGGGGAAUAUUGGACAAUGGGCGAAAGCCUGAUCCAGCCAUGCCGCGUGUGUGAAGAAGGUCUUCGGAUUGUACAGCACUUUAAGUUGGGAGGAAGGGCAUUAACCUAAUAC